rnacentral:lncRNA from 1 species
AUGUGUGAAGAGAUGGAGAAGGAAUCAUCUUUGGACCAACAACAAGCUUGCACUGUAAGUAAUAGUGAAGGAUUUGUUAGGACCAUCCGAAGCUCUAGCGAUGAUCAGGCCAAAUAUGCGACCCCUUCCUGCUGUUCCCUGCCAAAGUUGCAUGAAAAAAAAAUAGGAGUCAACAUGAAAAGAAAGGAACAGAGUAAGUAAGGUGAUCAACAUUUUUAAUUAUUUUUACAUACCUUUUGGUUUCCAGUUGUACUUAAUUUAUGUUUUAAUUUGAUCCACUUAUUUUAAAUAAGAAUAUAAAUGAAAAAAUGUAAAAAAAUGAAAAAGUAUGUGGUCACUAACUGGUUGUCCUCUGAAUUUUCAUGGAUAGUACUUUGAAAAGUUCUGCAUCAUAAAAACAUAAUCAAGAAGCAGUAAGGAAAAUGUGUUUAUUUACUGAGCUAACUGCAAGGGCUGACAUGCUAAAUUUGGGCUUUUAAAAUGCCCACUUACCUUCACUUUAAAGUUGAUGCGAAGAGUACAGUUCUAGAGUAAUUAGACAUUGUAAAUUUGAAGAAAAUUCCUCCCUCCAAUGAGUAUUUUCCUGUUUGAAGAAGAAGGAACAGCGCAUUUUGUGACAGGAUGAAACAGUAUGGACAGUAUGAUUCUACAUUAUGUGUGAUUGAUAUGUUGAAGGAAAAGCUCUCGCUUAAAAUUUAUGAAAAGAAUAGGUCAGUUUAACUUGAAAUAUUCAGUUAUAACUAUCAAAAUUCAGAAAUUUUUACAAUUCAUUUUGUGUGUGACUCUGGUAAAUAUUGAUUAUUUUUUUAAUUUUUUAGGCCAGUGACGAUGCAAUUUUUCUAAAAAUCACUACUUGAUCCUUGAAUUCUUGGAAUUUGUUU